AAAAGGCGAUGAAGCGAAAGGUUGCUGACACACCCGGCCCCUUUGCCAUGGCAAGGUUGUCAGGAUAAAUUUUCGCGGAGAAAGUCUAUUAUAAAAUGGGCGA
rfam:Pontibacillus marinus BH030004 = DSM 16465 strain BH030004 contig17, whole genome shotgun sequence.